rnacentral:rRNA from 1 species
GAUGAACGCUGGCGGCGUGCCUAAUACAUGCAAGUCGAGCGAACGGACGAUAAGCUUGCUUCUCUGAUGUUAGCGGCGGACGGGAGAGUAACACGUGUAUAACCUACCUAUAAUUCGGGGAUAACUUCGGGAAACCGUAGCUAAUACCGGAUAAUAUUUUGAACCGCAUGGUUCAAAAGAGAAAGUCGGUGUUGCUGUAACUUAUCGAUGGAUCCGCGCUGCAUUAGCUAGUUGGUAAGGUAACGGCUUACGAAGGCAACGAGGCAUAGCCGACGUGAGAGGGUGGUAGCCCACAUGAGAACUGAGCCACGGUCAUGACUCCUAAGAGAGGCAGCAGUAGGGUAUCUUACGCAGUGGGCGAAAGCAUGACGGAGCAACGCCGAGUGAGUGAUGAAAGUCUUCGGAUCGUAAAAAUCUGUUAUUAGGUGAGAACAUAUGUGUAAGUAACUGUGCACAUCUUGACGGUACCUAAUAAGAAAGCAACGGCUAACUACGUG